rnacentral:rRNA from 1 species
GUGAGGAAUUUUCCGCAAUGGGCGAAAGCCUGACGGAGCAAUGCCGCGUGAAGGAUGAAGGCCUAUGGGUUGUAAACUUCUUUUCUCAGAAAAGAAUUAUGACGGUAUCUGAGGAAUAAGCAUCGGCUAACUCUGUGCCAGCAGCCGCGGUAAGACAGAGGAUGCAAGCGUUAUCCGGAAUGAUUGGGCGUAAAGCGUCUGUAGGUUGUUUAAAAAGUAUUCUGUCAAAGAUUAGGGCUUAACCCUAGAUAGGCAGAAUAAACUUUUAAGCUAGAGUUUGGUAGAGUCAGUUGGAAUUCCCGGUGGAGCGGUGAAAUGCGUAGAUAUCGAGAGGAACACCAAAGGCGAAGGCACUCUGCUGGGCCAAUACUAACACUGAGAGACGAAAGCGAGGGGAGCAAAUGGGAUUAGAAACCCUGGUAGUCC